GACGAACGCUGGCGGCAUGCCUAAUACAUGCAAGUCGAGCGAACAGAUGAAGUGCUUGCACUUCUGACGUUAGCGGCGAACGGGUGAGUAACACGUAAGGAAUCUACCUAUAAGCGGGGGAUAACAUUCGGAAACGGGUGCUAAUACCGCAUAAUAUCUUCUUCCGCAUGGAAGAAGAUUGAAAGACGGCUCUGCUGUCACUUAUAGAUGACCUUGCGGUGCAUUAGUUAGUUGGUGGGGGAAUGGCCUACCAAGACGAUGAUGCAUAGCCGACCUGAGAGGGUGAUCGGCCACAUUGGGACUGAGACACGGCCCAAACUACUACGGGAGGCAGCAGUAGGGAAUCUUCCGCAAUGGGCGAAAGCCUGACGGGGCAAUGCCGCGUGAGGGAAGAAGGCCUUCGGGUCGUAAAACUCUGUUAUAAGAGAAGAACAAAUUGUAGAGUAACUGCUACAGUCUUGACGGUAUCUUAUCAGAAGGCCACGGCUAACUACGUGCCAGCCGCCGCAGUAA
rnacentral:rRNA from 1 species